AGUAUUAGUUCUUCCCUUUCCCCCAGAUGGAAAUAAGCCAAAGGAACAUUCUGUUCUGCAAACCAGUUCCCACCCUGCUCUUUAUAAACUUCGUUUUCUUUCAAUUUCCAGUAGGGAACCAAGCCCCUACUGGAAAUUUUCCUGAUCUGAAUAUACUGCCACGGUGUCCCAGGGCCUGUGUUGUCCCCUGACUUGUUCAUCUCCCGACUUUCUCAGCUGGAGACAGAAAGCUCUCAGUGGACCCAGGCAGAGUCCACUGGCUGAUGUCAGGGUGAAAUGAGGCUGAUGCUUCCUGGAAUCCACCAGAAGUAUGCAAAUCGCACCAUCUCUUUCAGCUGCCUGCGCCUGCAUUCCAUCGAGGAUUCCUGGUAGAAGAAAGCAUCCUGUUCCUCUUUCUAAGUGCCUCGUUAAAGCCUGAGGACAAAUCCCUCCUGCUUCGCUUGCCCUGGGAGAGUGAACUUGGACAGCAGCCUGAGUAGAUCUCUGCCCAUGGCCACAGAAGAUGCCAGCCUGAAGUUUUUGAUGUUCUUGUUCGCCACCAUCUCAACAUCGUGACUUGGACCUCCCUUGGUGCCGUCCCUAAGCUGUGUUUUCUAAUACUGCUCCACCAGCAGAAGCCUGAAACGAGUGGUUGUCUGGGCAGAUAAGAUGCAUCUGAAACUGACUUUCCCACAGGUGCCCCCUUUUCCUCCAUCCUUUUCCUUCAAUGACUUAAAGAAGCCUCCUUUCUGACACUGACUUUAUCUUUCCUGGCCCCUGGGAACAACUGCUAUGGUUCAAAAGAUGAAAACAACCAUUCUCAGUUGCUUGAGAAGGCCUCUUUUAUGAGAUAAUACUUGAUGUUUGUAAAGUGUGUUACAGUUUGCAAAGUGACUUCACAUACAUCUUUUCUUUUCAUGUCUUAAUACAUCA